CUGUGAUCGCUGAUACAAUUCAAUCGGCUUCGUAGGCUGUGACAUGUGAGGUCUCCUGUGAGUUGCUCUGUUGCUGUGGCUAUUUCCGCUGGUGCUGUUGCUGGGCUUUGCUGAAGCAUUUCGGGCAAGACAGAGUGGCAUCAUCGUGCAUCAGUCGGUACCUCGUGUGGCAGGAGGUGUUCCUGCUGACGAAUAUUGAUCAAUUUCAUCAUGGAGCUAAGGUCCCUCUUAAGAAAGGUAACAUGUUGCGAUGAUCUCCCAUCCCUGGAGUUCUCUCUGCCGUGGAUAAGAUGAUGAAGGAAAUUUCCAUGAAUUUACAUUCAUCAGACAUCAUGAGUGGUCGUUACGUGCUUCGGUCAAUGUCUCGCCAAACUAACAGAUUUAUCCCGGGUUCGAGGAUGACAUCGACGGAAGUUGGAGCUCUGCAAGUUCAUCACGACGAAAACCACAUGGAAUUUUACAUACAAUAGGAAAAAGAGAGAGCUUUUCUUCAGUAUGAUGUCUUGAAUCCAGCAACAGGAGCAGUUGAUCUGCAACACACUGUCGUUCCAGAAGUUUUCCAAGGACAAGGAUUGGUAAAGUUCUUGCUAAGACUGCCAUGGAUCAUUUUUCAGCACAGAACAAACAAAUGAAAUUGACAUGUUGGUAUCUUAAGAAAUAUUACAAUGAGAACCCAAGCCAUCUUUAUGAAGACAGAGUAAUUGAUUGAUUAAUGUUCAUUGACACUUCAGUAAGUUUAUUUCCUUAUAUCUUUUCAAAAUCUG